ensembl:lncRNA
UCCCCUACCCAAAUUUCUCUGGGAUCUUCUUUCCCUCAGGAGUACAGAUUGCAAAUGACAACAAUGACCCAUCAAGGGCAACAAUAACAGCAAUGACAAGGACACUGAUGACUGUGACAAUGACCAGUAACAUCAUGGAUAAUGGACCCAAGACAGUUAAUAGUACUAACAAUGUCAAUUCAGUCAUGGAAGUUAGGAGGAGCAUCUCAAAGACCAAAACUCAGGUGCUGGGGAUUCAAAGAGAAGUGAAACAAGCAAAAAAGGAAUUCCUGCUCCCAAGAAGCUCAUGGCCUACUGGAGGAGAUUUCAUGCGAACAACUAAUCUACUAAAGGCACCGAAAUUGAGGACCUUCUUGCAAAAGAACCCAAAUUCUUCACAUUACAUGGAACACCCAAGAGGACACCGACAUUUUCCUUAUUUUUAUGCCCCUCCUACAUUUCUCAGACCUUCUCACUACUUGACUCCUUCCUUCAGGCACCUGUCUGGUUAUCAGUUAUCUUCUGUACCCCAACCAGAAGACCAUUAUUACCUCUUAAAAUGUUCCAGGUCAGAAAUUCCACUGCCAGAUCAUCUUCCUUAUCAUGCUGAUUCUCCUUUCCUAAUGCAUCCUCUGGGUGCUGAAGCUUCAUCCCUGAGUGGUCAGCCAGAACCAUUCCUGGGGCCCUCCUCCAUCUGGGCCUCACCCAAAAGAUGUACCUUCAUAGAAUAUAAUUAUGAAAGGGGCCAUCAUUCAGGAAUCCCUGAGCCUACGGCAUCUCCGCUAUUUGGGCAAGCCGCAAGACUUGAAGAAGGUGUUUUUGGGAGACGAGAAGACUCUACUGAUACUUAUGUUUCCUCUUCUUCAAUAUUGCGGACUGGAUCUCCUUAUGAACUGACUUCCAGUUACUAUCACCCACCAAUUUUCAAGGCCCUUCUGGCAGAAGAGUCUCCAAUGGGGAGCCAAUUGUCAUUUAUGCAUCAGAACUUCCCACCACCUCCAUGCAUAAGGUACAAUUUAACCCCACCAAAUUCCUUAUUUGUGCCUGAGGAGAAUCCUUUGGAAAAUCUCUUAAAUAUGCUACGGGCUGACCUGGCUUCCAAAAGACAGUCCUAACUCCUGAAGGUUGUUGAACCUGAGUCAGAUGCCACAUCCCCCAUUUCACCUGCCAAUCAUCCAGAAGAACAUCCUGACUCCAUUUCUCUGGGGUCUCUACAUUCUAUUUUCCCCAAAGAAUGAAGAAAUACCACCAGACUCAGAAGUAUGACUCCAGUCGCCUAUGGAAGAAAAUGCUGCUGCUGAAUGCUUUUUUUUUUUUUUAAAUAUGGAGAUCACAAAAAAUUAAAGCAAGGAAAUGCACCAUGAUUAUUCCUGGUCUAGACUUCUUGACAGAAAUUUUCCUUUUCAGGGAUGUGACAAAAUUGGGACACUAAUGCAUUGCUGGUGGAGUUGUGAACUUAUCCAAUCAUUCUGGAGGGCAUUUUGGAAUUCUAUCCAAAGGGCUAUAAAACAGUGCAUACCCUUUGAUUCAGUAAUUCAGUAACCUGUGAUUGCUAGAUAACAAGAAGGUAACAUGUCUAAGAAACAAUUUAUUCUAGCUGUCAGACUGAAACAAUGUCCACCAAUUUAGAAGAACAGAAAUACUAGUAACAGGACCCUUUAUUCCUGUAUCUUCAUCAGAGCAGGUUCAUUGAUGUCAGG